rnacentral:rRNA from 1 species
GAUGAACGCUGGCGGCGUGCUUAACACAUGCAAGUCGAACGGGGUGCUCAUGACGGAGGAUUCGUCCGACGGAUUGAGUUACCUAGUGGCGGACGGGUGAGUAACGCGUGAGGAGCCUGCCUUGGAGAGGGGAAUAACACUCCGAAAGGAGUGCUAAUACCGCAUGAUGCAGUUGGGUCGCAUGGCUCUGACUGCCAAAGAUUUAUCGCUCUGAGAUGGCCUCGCGUCUGAUUAGCUAGUAGGCGGGGUAACGGCCCACCUAGGCGACGAUCAGUAGCCGGACUGAGAGGUUGACCGGCCACAUUGGGACUGAGACACGGCCCAGACUCCUACGGGAGGCAGCAGUGGGGAAUAUUGGGCAAUGGGCGCAAGCCUGACCCAGCAACGCCGCGUGAAGGAAGAAGGCUUUCGGGUUGUAAACUUCUUUUGUCGGGGACGAAACAAAUGACGGUAC